GAUGAACGCUGGCUAUAGGCUUAACACAUGCAAGUCGAGGGGAAACGACGGGGAAGCUUGCUUCCCCGGGCGUCGACCGGCGCACGGGUGAGUAACGCGUAUCCAACCUGCCUCUGACUGAGGGAUAACCCGUCGAAAGUCGGCCUAAUACCUCAUGGCAUCGUCUGCGGGCAUCCAACGACGAUUAAAGAUUUCAUCGGUCAGGGAUGGGGAUGCGUCUGAUUAGCUUGUUGGCGGGGUAACGGCCCACCAAGGCGACGAUCAGUAGGGGUUCUGAGAGGAAGGUCCCCCACAUUGGAACUGAGACACGGUCCAAACUCCUACGGGAGGCAGCAGUGAGGAAUAUUGGUCAAUGGGCGAGAGCCUGAACCAGCCAAGUAGCGUGCAGGAUGACGGCCCUAUGGGUUGUAAACUGCUUUUAUGCGGGGAUAAAGUGAGGGACGUGUCCUUCAUUGCAGGUACCGCAUGAAUAAGGACCGGCUAAUUCCGUGCCAGCAGCCGCGGUAAUACGGAAGGUCCGGGCGUUAUCCGGAUUUAUUGGGUUUAAAGGGAGCGUAGGCCGUGGAUUAAGCGUGUUGUGAAAUGCAGGUGCUCAACGUCUGCACUGCAGCGCGAACUGGUCCACUUGAGUGUGCGCAACGCAGGCGGAAUUCGUCGUGUAGCGGUGAAAUGCUUAGAUAUGACGAAGAACUCCGAUUGCGAAGGCAGCUUGCGGGAGCACAACUGACGCUGAAGCUCGAAAGUGCGGGUAUCGAACAGG
rnacentral:rRNA from 1 species